UAAUUCUCAUUUGACUUAGCACUAGCAAACAGAUUGAUAUUAUGAAGUUGAGCAAAAUAUGGCUUCUUUAUUGCACCUUCUCAGUAUAUUUUCUCAAAUUAGAAGUAUAAAUUGUGAAAACUACUCUUUUUUGUAGCUUCUAUCUUUGCCUGUGUUGCUGAAGAUAGAAUGGAUCUUCUUAGGGCUGCGAUUAUUGGCCCUAAGGGAACACCCUACCAUGAUGGCCUCUUCUUCUUUGAUGCACAUUUUACCUCUAAUUAUCCUUCUGAGCCUCCGUUGGUGCAUUACCAUUCUGGAGGGCUUUGACUUAAUCCGAACUUGUAUAAUUGUGAAAAAGUCUGCCUCAUUGGUUUUAUAAACUACCAUGAGGGCUCUUCAUCUCCAGUCGCUGGUCCACUGCUUCUCUGGUUUUAUAAAAAGAGCUGCAGUAACAACUAAGCAUCCGAUAUAUAAUAACAUCAUGAAAGGGGCACGGAGCGGCGAUCCAAUAUACACCGGCGAUGAAGGAAGUGGGGAUGGACAUUCGUGGAUUUGUCGUCCCUGAUUUGCUUUGUGGAG